UCUGAACAGCGCCCCGCUGCCCCCUCUGGAAGAAAGGCUGGAUCGCCUGUUUGCCGCCUUUUGGGCUAAAAUAUACCAACAGGGAGACAUAACAGUGGAGACCCCACCAGCAGCAGGCCGGGAAGAGGCAGAGACCCGCGGCCCCCUUUCAGGGUAUCGGCAAGGCUGAAAUGGCGGGAAGAAGGAGAUGGACGACUCGACGCAAACCUCGACACCGCAGACCAAGACAAGCAGUGAGUCGUCCUACUCCCCAUCAGUGGCUACCCCUCUGCAGCCUCACCACACUCCCGAAGACCAGUACCCGCCAUGUGGAGAACCCACAUAAGAGUCCGCGGAGACUUAAAAUGGAACCGGGCCGUACACCCACAGCGCCCCG